rnacentral:rRNA from 1 species
ACUCAAAUGAAUAGACGGGGACUCGCACAAGCGGUGGAUCAUGUGGCUUAAUUCGUCGAUAAGCGAAGAACCUUACCCAGGCUAGAAACCAAGCUGCAUCUCUUUCGAAAGAUUGAGAGCCUUCGAGGGUGCUUGGCAGGUGAUGCAUGGUUGUCGUCAGUUCGUGGCUUGAGCUGUUCCCUUCAGUGGGGUAACGAACGCAACCCUCGUUGUCUGUUAUAUAUGUCAGGCGAGACUGCCCCCUCACGGGGGAGGAAGGUGAGGAUGACGCCAAAUCAGCAUGUCCCUUGAUGCCUGGGGCUGCACACGUGAUACAAUGGUAGGUAACAGAAGGACGCAAUACCGUAAGGUGGAGCAAAUCCCAAAACCCUACCCCAGUACGGAUCGAGGUCUGCAAUCGACCUCGUGAAGCCGGAAUCGCUAGUAAUCGUGGGUCAGCAAUACCACGGUGAAUACGUUCUCGAGUCUUGUACACACCGCCCGU